GCUCCGGUGGUCUAGUGGUUAGAGCGUCCGCUUCGGAUGUGAGAUGUCGCGGGUUUGAUUCCCGGUCGAGUCA